CUUAUCUUUAGGAGGAGUGGGCUUCAUACAGGUUCGACUGAGAUAGAUAGUCACAUACAGGUUUCUCACUGCAGUGGGACCUUCCAGUGCUUUCUUCCCCAUGUGAAGAACACGUUGCACACUGUCACCUGUGUCUUCCUAACGUGCAGCACUUCCUGCUCCUCACAAUGACCGAGUAACAAUUCAUCACCCACCCCAGCCCUCCUGCUCCCUACUCUCUGCAGCCUCUCAUGUGCCCUGUUCAGUCUCAAAUUCUGUGACAUUAACUUCGUUAGCUUCCUAGGUCAGUGAGAUCAUUCUCUAACUGAUUUCCUACCCGAGUUUAUCUACUUCACAUCGUGACUCCCGGCUGAGCUGCGCUGUCACACGUGACAGGGUUCACAGAUACCUGGUUUUCCACGGAGCACACACACC
rnacentral:lncRNA from 1 species